UACAGAGGGUGCGAGCGUUAAUCGGAAUUACUGGGCGUAAAGCGUGCGUAGACGGUUAUUUAAGUCGGGUGUGAAAGCCCCGGGCUCAACCUGGGAAUUGCAUUCGAGACUGAAUAGCUAGGGUACGGUAGAGGGAAGCGGAAUUUCCGGUGUAGCGGUGAAAUGCGUAGAUAUCGGAAGGAACAUCAGUGGCGAAGGCGGCAUCCUGGACCGACAUUGACGCUGAGGAGCGAAAGCUAGGGGAGCAAACGGG
rnacentral:rRNA from 1 species